rnacentral:rRNA from 1 species
CGCGCAGGCGGCUUCGGAAGUCAUGGGUGAAAGCCCCAGGCUCAACCUGGGAAUAGCCUGUGAAACCACGGAGCUAGAGUGCUGGAGAGGAAAGCGGAAUUCCCAGUGUAGCGGUGAAAUGCGUAGAUAUUGGGAGGAACAUCUGUGGCGAAGGCGGCUUUCUGGACAGACACUGACGCUGAGGCGCGAAAGCUAGGGGAGCGAACG